CGGACGGGUGAGUAAUGUCUGGGAAACUGCCUGAUGGAGGGGGAUAACUGCUGGAAACGGUAGCUAAUACCGCAUAACGUCGCAAGACCAAAGAGGGGGACCUUCGGGCCUCUUGCCAUCGGAUGUGCCCAGACGGGAUUAGCUAGUAGGUGGGGUAACGGCUCACCUAGGCGACGAUCCCUAGCUGGUCUGAGAGGAUGACCAGCCACACUGGAACUGAGACACGGUCCAG
rnacentral:rRNA from 1 species